rnacentral:misc_RNA from 1 species
GUUGAGUUGAGUUGAGUAUAGUAUAGUGAACGCUGCCUAUGUUCUAAAGUUGGUUCCUCAUCCAUGAUUGUAUUUUGGAUUUUACAUCAGCAGCUAGAGUUUCACUUUAUGGCCUUGGUUAUUCACAUAUCAUGGGCUUUGAUCUGGGGAUGAGAUUGAAGUCUCAUGUCACUCAUCCCUAAUCCAGAUAAUUGUCCAUGUUGCAACUUUCAAUUUGCAACCAAACAGAAGAAAUUUAUUUUCUUAAAUUUUUUCCUCGAAAAUAUGUUUCAUUGUCAAAUUUCUGUGAAACAAAUGGAACCUUAGAUUCCCCAGAUUUGGAGUAUAAUUUGCAGAUAUGUAAUAGAAAAAGGGAGGAGUGGCACUUUGAAUUAGUGGGCAUCUUCUGUCAAUGAUAGUCACCAAUAUUAUUGGUCUUAGGUAGUUGUUUUUGCUUGCUUUGGUAAAUGCUGCCAGCCUCUUGCGAUUGUGAUUCAAUUGAUUGUUUCUAUUUCUAUGUUAUUCUUUUCUUCUCCCCCCAUCUUUAGUUUCUCCUUCAACAUUAUGGAGAUCUCCUGUUUUCAGUAAAACCCUGCAUGAGAGAUGGGAUGGUGUCCACCAUAUGACAUCCUAUCCAAUCCUAUCUUAUGUGGCAGUUCAUACCCCACAUGCUCCUGCACAUCCAAGACGCUUUUUAUGGAAAAGCAUAAAUAGAAAAAUAUAUCAUCAAAAUGUUAGUGUAUCCAGUGUCAGAUAAAAAAUUAGCAUGGCAAGGUAGGAAAACAAAUGUAUAAGUUUUCUGCAACAGUUUUUUGUUUCAUCCUAUAUAGGAGAAGUGCCAAAAUGUGUUCUUUUUUCCAGGAUAAUUAUAAAAAAUGAUUUUGGUUCUCUUGCAAUUUUUGCUUUCCACUUACUUUUGCUGUUUUAACCUGAUGGCAUCUGGAUACAGUAUACACCAGCAAUUGAUAUAU